UCUGCGCCUUCCGAUGAAGCCCGUAAUCAAUUCAUCGCGCGCACCCACUGUGGUGUGCACUGUACCUAUAUUGUGGGGAUCCUUAACGGUGAUCCGCAGCUCACGUGAGUGAGUCCAGAGAUUAAAUAGGUAUGGAAGGUCCGCCUUCUAAGCUAUAAUCCAACCCGAGUCUUUGUUGACUUGGUAUUGUGGGAGCCUGCGGCUUAAUUUGACUCAACACGGGAAAACUCACCAGGUUAACCUUUGACCGUUACACGUCUGGGCCUGGUCUUUGCAGUGCUGGUUGAUCCAGUGCAACACCAGCUGGUACAGGGGACGUCUGUGGGCCGAUCCUGUGGCGAGUCCAUCAUCAGGUGGACCGUUGCAACGCACAGCAAGCGGUGGGCAGUCUGGAGCGAUUCUUCCAGGCAGCUUUUGGUAUAUGCUAACUCCGUGGGACACCACGCCUCCCCGAUAGGACCGUCACGGUUGAAGCGGGGGAUGGGACCUCUGCGGAGGAGAGAUUUGGUGCCAGACAUAAGAAGGAUUGACAGAUUGAGAGCUCUUUCUUGAUUUUAUGGGUGGUGGUAGAACGUCCUUGUGCCACAUACAGCGAUACGGGUCACCCACCGUUGAAACAUAGCUAGUCCACCUCCGUGGGCAACAUUCUUCUGUUGCUGAGAAUUGCACCCCACGGGUCGUUAUCAGCAGCCACACGUUCGGAUGAAGGUGUGGUUCACAGACUAGGUUAGAAUGGACUGAUGCUCGGUUAAAGAUAUAGUCGAACCUCUUGCGGAUACGCAUUGGUGUUGGUGGCAUGGCCCGUUCUUAGUUGGUGGGAGUGAUUUGUCUGCUUAAUUUGCGUUAACGAACGAGACCUUGACCUGCUAAAUAGCCCGUCCGACUUUGGUUGGACGCUGGCUUCUUAGAGGGACUUUUGGCUCAAGCCAAUGGAAGUACGAGGCAAUAACAGGUCGACCUUCACAGGCCUGUUGAAAUAUGGUUGAAUCUUGAAUUCGGCCCUGCCACUGGUACAGGGAACGCUUCCGAGCCCAUCCUGUGGCGAGUCUACGGACCGCCAAAACGCACGCAAAGUGGCGGAUCUGCGGUUAAAGUAGGUCUUGGUACGUGCUCAAUCCCCAAUUAUCAUUGGGUUGGGACCUUCAGCGCAAAGCAAAGGGUUCUAAAACGAUCGAAACACAUGCUUGUGUUCAGUUUGUUGGUUUGAUGCUGUGAUGCCCUUAGAUGUUCUGGGCCGCACGCGCGCUACACUGACAGAGCCAGCGAGUACAUCACCUUGGCCGAAAGGUCUGGGUAAUCUUGUUAAACUCUGUCGUGCUGGGGAUAGAGCAUUGCAAUUAUUGCUCUUCAACGAGGAAUGCCUAGUAAGCGCAAGUCAUCAGCUUGCGUUGACUACGUCCCUGCCCUUUUGACUAUCAGUGUGGGGGUCCGUGUAUUUCCCUCGCUUGGAAAACACAACCCCCUUACAAGGGGCACGGUAGGGUUUGAUAUAAGCCCCAAAGUUGAGCCUAGAUGAAAGUCUCGACAUCAGCUAUACCACUCAAAUCGUCGGGAAGGAGCUACACUGUAGUUCUAUCCGCAGCUGCAUAUGCCACAAGCAUGUAUAGCCCACAGACUAAUCAGUGGUAGACCUCUGAACCAGAGAGGUUUCAGUUAUAGCCGGUCGGUUCAUUUAACAGUGAUCCGAUGCAACGUUGUACACACCGCCCGUCGCUACUACCGAUUGAAUGGCUCAGUGAGGCCUUGGGACUGGCUCAGAGAGGUCGGCAACGACCACUCAGAGCCGGAAACUUGGUCAAACUUGGUCAUUUAGAGGAAGUAAAAGUCGUAACAAGGUUUUGUCCAGAGAGAUCCUUCUUUUGAAGCCUUCCACACAGCGACUCUAACCGUGUGUGCAGUCUAGAGAUAGGCGACGUCAUCCCUGUGCUGGAACGCUACUUAACGGUGGCGGAUCAGCAGCCAGGUUCUCCUGGUCCACAGAUUAGGUGGUGGCGGUCCCCGGGAACGCCCGUGGGAUGAAGAUAUAAUCGGUCCCCAUCGCCGUCGGUGGUCGAGCCACGUUCCGUAGGUGAACCUGCGGAAGGAUCAUUAUCGAGUUAGGGUCCUCUGGGCCCCAUCUCCAACCCUUGUCUACCUUACCAUGUUGCUUUGGCGGGCCCGUCUUUGCCCGGACCGCCGGAGGGUCUGCCCUCUGGCCUGCGCCCGCCGGUAGCCCCCAUAAAUUCGUCUAACAGUGAUGCCUAAGUCUCAAAAUAAUAACUAAAACUUUCAACAACGGAUCUCUUGGUUCUGGCAUCGAUGAAGAACGCAGCGAAAUGCGAUAAGUAAUGCGAAUUGCAGAAUUCCGUGAGUCAUCGAAUCUUUGAACGCACAUUGCGCCCUUUGGUAUUCCGAAGGGCAUGCCUGUUCGAGCGUCAUUAUCAACCCUCAAGCCCGGCUUGCUGUUGGGUCCCACCGUCGAGAAACACGGUGGACCCGAAAGAUAAUGGCCGAGUCCGAAUGGACCCCGGAUGCAUCGAGCUUUUCAGCACGUGUCUGGACGGUUCUCCGGCUCGGUCUUUAACCAAAUCUUCUCGUAUUGACCUCGGAUCAGGUAGGGAUACCCGCUGAACUUAAGCAUAUCAAUAAGCGGAGGAAAAGAAACCAACAGGGAUUGCCUCAGUAACGGCGAGUGAAGCGGCAACAGCUCAAAUUUGAAAUCUGGCUCCUUUGGGGUCCGAGUUGUAAUUUGUAGAGGAUGCUUCGGGUCAGGUUGCGGUCUAAUUCGCUUGGAACAGCGAGUCACAGAGGGUGAGAAUCCCGUCUAGGUCCGCGAGCGGCGCCCGUGUGAAGCUCCUUCGACGAGUCGAGUUGUUUGGGAAUGCAGCUCUAAAUGGGUGGUAAAUUUCAUCUAAAGCUAAAUAUUGGCCAGAGACCGAUAGCGCACAAGUAGAGUGAUCGAAAGAUGAAAAGCACUUUGAAAAGAGAGUUAAACAGUAUGUGAAAUUGUUGAAAGGGAAGCGCUUGCAAUCAGACUUGCGUGUAACGGUUCCCUCGGUCUCUUUUGACCGGGCUACUCCGCUAUAUUCAGGCCAACAUCGGUUCAGGUGGUCGGUAAAAGACCCCGGGAAUGUAUCUACCCUCGGGUCGACUUAUAGCCCGGGG
rnacentral:rRNA from 1 species